UACAUAUAUGUAAUACAUGUACUUUGUAAUGUCUGGUGCAACUUAGAAACAAAUUAGUUUUACUUUUUAAGUAAAUUUAAAUUAAACAAAAAUAGUUUACAUAUAAUGUCAAUAAAAUCAAUUUUUCAUGAGCCAUUUUUUUGGUUUGAUAGGAAUCACUUUAAGUUGUUUAUCUUUGUUUGAGAUUACUGAGAUAUCAGAUUAUACAGAAUAGAAAUAUCUAUUUUUUGAUAAGCUAAAUUGUUUACAUUUAUAAAGUACUAUAAUUAUAUACUAAUUUUGCUUCAUUUUUUUUUCUUCUUUACAUUAAUGAGAAUUUGAAUGCAAUGCUCUAAUUAAAAAAAACAAUUUUUGGCUGAGUUGAAUGCUCAAUGUCCUAAGAAAGAUGAGCAUUACAAAGUGAAACUUGAAGCAAAAGGAUAGAAGAGUCAACAACAUGCUUCAAACACAGGUUUUAAUUAGAGACAAGCUUCAAACACAGGUUUUAAUUAGAGACAAGCUUCAAACACAGGUUUUAAUUAGAGACAAGCUUCAAACACAGGUUUUAAUUAUUUUGUAACUAGUCAUUUAGAAUUAUUUUGAGGCUAGAUUAUUACAUUACAUUCUUUUCUCUUUAUUUUUUAAACUAGAAACUUAAUCGUUAGAAAUCUUAUCCCCCCCCCCAAUCCUUCAGUUAUAUUAUUGUUAGUUGUUUUUUGUUAACCCCCACUUCUAAUAUUUGAAUUGUCUUUUUCUUUUCUAACUUCAGUUGAGACAAUGCAUCCCAGCAAACUAACUUUACUUUCUAGGGGCUCAGUGGUAGACUGCUUUUUUGUUUACUUUAGUCUAUUUCUAAUUUUUAUUACUGAAAGUGAGAAUAAACUGUUUAAAAAGAAAAGACUUCCCUCCCAAAACAUAAUUUUUGUUUUUUUUCUUAAUAACUACACUUAAAGUGACAUCCAGAUUAGAAGUUUUCACAUCACAAGUUGUUGACUGGUUUCAUACAAGACCAAAGUGACUGGUACAGAUGGGCUCCACUGAAUUUAUUUGUAAACCAUGUUCUCUACUUUACAUUUUAACAAACUAACAGCCGGAUUUUAUUUCAUAAAUACUGGGAUUUAUUGUCAUAUAAAUCUGCAUAAUUAAAAAAAAAAGUACUUUCCCUUUCACCCAUUGGACAAAGAUGACACUUUCUUCAUAUAAAGAUGGAUCAUGUUAAUACUGAUCUUUCAGUUGUUCAUUUUCUUUUCUUAGCCCAGACUGAAGGACAUGAAGUGGUGAUGUGACUUUUGUAGUUAGAAAGUUUGAGUGUAUUUUGUGUGUAAAUAGUUCACUGUGCUUUGUGUAGCCACGAGGACAUAAUGAAAUCAAAAUACAAUGGUUUGGCUACAGACA
rnacentral:sRNA from 1 species